GAGCUUUUUUUUCCCCUUGCAGACAAACACAGUGUCAUCUUUUGGGCAGCGUGGCAUGAACAACAUGACAACACAGAUAUUUGGCUACAUUGUGAUAUGGAGGACAGAGAGUGGUCUGAAAUUUGAGGAGGAUGUGUCUGAGGAUGAGGAUGAUGUUGGCGAAAGAGGUGCCAGUCCUGCCCUGCAAGCAAGGACAGAAAAACCAGCCACACAUGUUUUCGGAGCUGAUACCAACCCCCCUCUAUAAGCCUUGCAGACUCUGCUUCUCAAAACUUUUUCCAGGUCUUCAGUUUGUGUCGUCCUCCGUCUUUAGCUUGUUUGAAAUCAUCCGACCAGACAAAGCAAGAAAGAGACAGCAGAGAGAGAAGUGAAGCAACAUAAAAAGAGACGAAAUUAACGGCAGCAGAAAGAAAAUCUACACACUAGACGAGAAGAGCGAGAAGGAGGAAACUCAUGGCAGUGGAGAGCAGGUGAACCCAAGUGCAGACACUCAAAGUUGAGGAGGCAGGGAUAUAGUAGGAACAAUGUAUUUAUUUUAAAAGGUGGGGGUAAAGGGAAAUGCGGGUCUGGGGAAGGUGGGGCUGAGGCUUGUGCUGAAAGCUGGAGAGAGCGGGGGUCCAGGGCAGGGAAGCGGGGCUGAUGAAAUGACGGGGACAGGAGACAGGGACCAGAGCCAGAGCAGAUGGAACUGCAGGGAUCAGGAGACCGGGUUAGGCAACGGAAACCAGAGCCGUGUCAAAGAGGAAUUUCUGUUACUUCAGGUGCAUUUCAAUCCUCUUAUUUGAUCGUUCCUCACUCCUGGAAAGACCUGGAAAUUAUUCCGGUCUGUCAUCCUGAAGGCCGUCCCAAUACACUUAUUUCUGCUCUGAGGAGCGAGGAGGGAUCUCUGAGGAGCCAUGAGCGAGGAUGCACGAGAGCAGCCUUCCCGAAAGACGUUUAGCUCAAUGUCACGAUGUGUAAAUACUCUCUACGUCUGGCACUAUUGGACGAGUUCGGUGAAGAAACAGUACAAGUAUGAGUGCCCGUUAUAUUCUUUUUGUUAAAGGCUCCAAAGAGCGAUGACAUUUAAUACAAGAAGAUGGGGAUCCUAAACAUUGUCACGUUUCAAUUAAGUUUAUUUCAUCCACAACCUGUUCUGUUAUGUAAUAAGUCUCACUAACAGCACCCUCUUAAGGUUGUCCUUGACUGACAGGAAGUAUGCCUCAUUUAACAGGGAAAGACGAAGACACGGCAAAGCUUAUAUUGUACAGGUCGGGAAAUGACCACCUCAUCACGAUGAAGAGGUAUACAGCCAAGAAAGCCUGGGGGGAUGCAAUAAGAUGACAUGUUUGUUCUCCACAAGAAAGUAAUGAGGAUCAUGGGCAUGGAGGGAAAACUUACCUCCACUCACCUCCAUUCAAAGAAUCUGACAAUUUAAAGAGGAAAUAUAAGAUUUUGUAUUUAUUACAGGCUCAGUGCACUUCCAUAUAAGCAUUUGUGACUUUUGUUAUUUUACAUAAUGCAUCACAUUCUUGUUGUUUCAGUGUGUCUGCAUGAAAAAAAUCCCUUGUUUGAUUUCUUCCAGGAGCUCAAAAAUCCUUUAGCAUGGUAGGGGACUGAUGGAGGGGAGGCCACUGUGGUUUUCCCAGAUGCAUUAGGACAUCGGGAUGCAGCCCUCAAAUGAUCCCCCAGUCCUGAUGUACUCGUGUAGGAGGAAACCAUGCCUCCGGUGGCAGUGGCUCAUCAUUUGCUGAAGCUGGAGCUGCUACUUGUGGCCAGGCAUGUGAGGAGGAAGAGGAUACUGCACAACCUGGCACAUCUAGCGGCUCCACCGCACAGGCGGAUGAUGAGCCAUCCACCUCUGCUUGUCCCCCACCCACCAAGAGACCACAUAUCUCCACAGGGACAUUAAUGGCAUUUUUAAAGGAGACAGAAAAGCAUGAAUAACAGUUCCAGGCUGGGCAAGCAAACAAUAAAAGAUUGUGGAUUUGUUUGAGGAAUAAGUUAGAAAGCCAUAAAUUUAUAAUUUCAUUCAUUUAUCAUGUAUUUAUUUAUUUAAUGUCAUAUGUAUUAUUAUCCAUCUGUCUAUCUAUCUAUCUAGGGAACUGAUACUGAACCUUGAAGAAAUAAAGUUAAGCUUUGAUUUA